GACUUGACUUUCUACGAUCGACAAGCAGUAUUGUACCGUCCUCAGUUCUGCUAUUAGAUGUGAUUUAAUGGUUUAGGUACAUUGUAUUGUUGGAUUUCACAGUUUUUAAUUGCAUUUUGUAUUGGGAAUGCUUCUUGCUGUCGCUUGUAUAAAGUUGCCAUGUUUCAGGGAGUUGGCAGUGACAAUGGCGUGAAAUUUGUUUUAUUGCAAUAUAGUAACGAGUUGAGGAAAUCAAUGCAGGCUAAUUUAAUCUCUGUAGCCAAUCCAUGUUGUGAUUGCUUAACCAAAAUUUUUCUUCCUUUGAAAUAACCCAUAAACAAUUCUCUAAAAUGGAUGGGUUCUGGGAUUUGCAUCUCUUGUACUACUCCUGAUAGAACCCAUGUGCAGGUGCCUUUCAAUUCAAUUCAAGAACUGGUUUUGACACUAAAAAAAUGCUUUUUUGUCAGUUUCUUGGUUAUGUUUGCAUUGAUCCUUCCUUUUGGUUCCUCAUCUCAUAACUGCUUUCAUGUUUUAAAUCGAUGCUGUGCCUAUUACUUAUGUUAGUUUCCUGAAGAAAAAAGGUUCAGUAGCAUCAAAACUCACAUUUGACAUUUCCAUGGCUACUAUCUUCAGUUUUCGUUGUCUCUGUUUCAUCAUCGCACUGCUAUCUGCUUUCUCAUUUGUCUCAUUCCUCUUUUGGUUUCAAUGCUCUAGCUCAUACCGCUACAGUAACCAAAUGAUAUCGCAGAAGGAAAACCAACCCAUUAAUCUCCUUUCUUUCCCUUCGGCAUGGAAUCAUCUUUCAUUUCCAUCAAAACUACCUUCAAAAUAUCUUAAGAUCGCACUCUUUGUCAAGAAAUGGCCCCAUAGAUCUCUUGCAGGUGGACUUGAGCGGCAUGCCCUGACCCUUCAUCUUGCUCUUGCCAAAAGAGGGCAUGAGCUUCACAUUUUCACCACUUCUCCUUCCAACUCCUCCUUCCCUAGGUAUCCGAUGAGCAACUUAUAUUUCCACCUCUCAAAACCAACAGCUGCUGGUUAUCUGGACCAAGCUAUUGUCUGGAAGCAAUUUCAAACUCAAAACUCAACUGGGAAAGCCUUUGACAUAGUCCACACUGAAAGUGUUGGGCUGUUGCAUACUCGGUCACGGAACCUCACCAACUUAGCGGUUACUUGGCAUGGGAUUGCAUAUGAAACCAUUCAUACUGACAUCAUUCAAGAACUUCUUCGGAAUCCUGAUGAACAACAAGCAUAUGCGUUGACUGAAAGAAUUACCAAGGUUGUUGAAGAGGUCAGGUUUUUUCCACACUACGCCCACCAUGUCGCUACUAGUGAUCAUGCUGGAGAUAUACUGAGAAGGAUUUAUAUGAUCCCAGAAGAACGAGUUCAUGUUAUUCUCAAUGGUGUGGAUGAGGAGAUUUUCAAGCCAGAUCCUUCUAAAGGUGAGGCAUUUAAGCAGAAAUUUGGGGUUGCAAAGAGUAGAUCUUUGGUUUUAGGCAUGGCAGGGAGGCUAGUGAAGGAUAAAGGACACCCCUUAAUGUUUGAAGCUCUGAAGCAGAUGCUUGUGGAAAAUGGUACGUUUCGUGAAAACACCAUUGUUCUGAUUGCUGGAGAUGGUCCUUGGGGUGAUAGAUACAGAGAUCUUGGGACCAAUACACUAGUUUUGGGACCAUUGGAACAAGCUCAGCUGGCGAGCUUCUAUAAUGCAAUAGAUAUUUUUGUAAACCCAACUCUUCGAGCACAGGGAUUGGAUCAUACUUUAUUAGAAGCAAUGCUUUCUGGUAAGUCAGUGAUGUCCACAAGGGUAGCCAGCAUUACUGGAUCUGUGAUUGUUAGCACAGAAAUAGGUUAUACAUUUUCACCUAUGGUAGUUUCAUUGAAAAAUGCACUUUAUAGGGUCUGGGAAGAUGGCAGAAGAGUUCUGGAGAUGAAAGGCCAAGCUUCUAGGCAGAGAGGGUUGCAAUUGUUCACUGCCACGAAAAUGGCAGCUGCUUAUGAAAGGCUAUUCCUUUGCAUAUCAAACGACAAUAGCAAAAGAGAGGAUUAUUGUCAAUACCAAUCUCCAUUCAAUUAAGAUAGCAGCAUCAUUUCAAAUUCAAUUUUUGAGAGACCUGAUAAUGCAAUAAUCAAAAGAAGAUUCCUUCUUUUUUUCGUUCAAGGUGAUGCUGGUUCGUACUCAGGGAGCGAAGAGGAUAAAUCCUUAAGAAGAAAGCAGGACAAAAAACAUACUACAUUAUUUAUGCUUUCUAAACAUCCACAAAAGCUGCAGCAAAGCCAAAAGUUUCUGUGACAAUUCCUAAGCACUAUUUACUUAAGCCUCGAGCAUAGACAAAUCAAUGACCACAUGGCCUCAUCACAAUUCACAAGGUACCUAUUCUUGCAGUUGCUGCAGAACUAUGCCUUUACAAAUGAACUUCGCAACCCAAAGCUAAGAGAGGUUAUUUUCUGUAUGCAACUGUGAUACCCUCACAUCUGUAUGAACUAAAAGUUUUUGCCUGACAACUUGAUUGACAAUUUUGGCA